AGCACCUGGGGGGAAGGCAGGGUCAACCCAGGGGAGCUCAGGUGCAUACAAUACACCUGAGUGACUGGAAGGGCUGGAGCCAGGAUCUGCCCCUUCCCAGACCUCAUUUAAGGGUUGGCAGUGGAGAUGAGAGUAUUCUGCUGGAGAUUGCUGCAUACCUGAGGCCUUCUGAAGACCAAAUUCACAGGACAAAGGCAAAGCUGCCCAUCCUGCCAGGAAGCAAAGCCUACAACUCUUCUUGCUGACACCUAUAAUUAGGCUGGGCUCUUGUCUCAGGAUGAUGAGUGCUGAUGGGAAAGAGGAGAAAGAUCCUGCCAGGGGUAUCGUGUGGAGCUGAGCCAGAGCAGACCCAGGCCAUGAGCAGCAAUUGCCAACAGAUGUUUGCCUGGUCUUAAAUUACGUUGUCUGCAUGCCUGGAAAAAGAUAGUGUCUUAUAAAUAACUGUGCUUUGAUGCUCUGUGGCCUUGCAUAUUCAGGUCCCACCGUUAGGCACGUAUGUGUUAGUCAGAACUAGCUGGAAAUGGACUGGGGGUGGAAUUUCUUUUGUCAUGUCCAGAAGUGGGGUGCUGUCAGCUCUUCCUGGGAAGUUAUGGGGGAUCGUGGAAGAAUGACUCAUCCAUUCUGUUCUGCAUGAGGAAGCCUGGGAAAGCACCAUGCUUCUGGAGGAAAAGGCGUGCAAUUCAGCAGCUUAAUACUCCCAGCACGACGUCCUCCCCAUGUGCCACUGAAGAAUGGGCACUGAGGAUUUAUAGUAACAUGCUGCAGUGCCCUGAGAUGAAGCAUGUAACUGGCACCUGCCUUAGGAUGAGUGAGGGUUUCUCUCCUCUGCCUUGGAAUAACAGCCUUGGGAUUACAGCUUGGGUUGCCCUGCUCUGUACUCAGGAUGCAUCAGGAGAAGAUACUUCAGUGCCUUCCUUUGCAGGCAAUGCCAGGGGAAGGCAUCUUGGUGCCCAGCAGUGCAAGGAGCUCUGUGGUAGCAGGACUCUGGGAUCCCUGGGGUAAGACAACGAUAUCCCCCAUGUACCACCUCCAGGGUGAGAACAUGAGCAGCAGAGAGGCCAACUGAGAUGUUGGGAACAAGCACAUGCCACUGUGGUUAAUGGCUUAUUGAUGGGCUUACAGCUUUUCCUUCCAUCAUUACCAUGCAAGGUCUGGGUUUAGAUUUUUACUAAUUUGUUUGUUCCUAGCUGUUCAAUAGAUCUUUUCAGCAAACAUGCUUCAAUCUUUGGGUUAUUCACAAACACGCUUGCUAAAUGUAUUACUGUCCACUUAAUGAAUUCCAGUUGUUCAUUAGCACACCUAUCAUGUGGUAUUACUUCUGCUUUCUGAAUGGAUGUGAUAAAAUAGAUGCAUUAAAUAAAAAGUAAAUUAAAAAAAAAAAAGGCAGGUGGGGAAAAAUGAAGUUUCAGUGAUGUUUUCAGGAGGAAGGUGUGAAAAACAGGUGGACUCUAUGCUGAGGAAGUCAGUGGUUUCCUGUGGAAAGGCAGAGCAGCGGACACUGAUGAAGCAGCAGCAAAGCAUGGACCGAAACCAUAACCCUGCACUGGGAUGAGUCAGAAAGAGGAGAAAGGCUGCACUGCAGCAUCCCUAAUGAAGGCUCUAGCUGCUCUGCACAGCCUGUUUUGACCCACACUGUCAUCCUCCCUGUGUAAACCUUAGUUGCAGCGUAAGCUUGUAUCUCCAGCAGAGUGGAACUGAAUGCACACCUCCUAUUUCCCCAAGGAGCUUUUAGGAUCUCCAAGUGAUCUCCCACCUGCACCCAAGAGGUAAUUAAUAGAGUAUCUUAAUUUUUUUUUUUGUGUGUGUGUGAAAUACAUCACAAAGUUACAAAGCAUAAAAUUAGAAAGCUUUGUGUUGAGAUGAAAUUUUAUUUCCCUAAAAAAUUGCUUCUGUUUCACAAUGGAGAUUGAAUUCAUCCUGAAAAGCAUAAGCCCCGCGUUGCCUCCUUUUCCAGACGUCAGGCUGGCUGCUUGGAUAGCUCACUCCCAUUCUGUCCCUUGGAAAAUGAUCAAGAUGGGAUAUUUGGACACAGAUUCUUCAUGCCAUGUCUCUUGGCAAAUUACAUUUUGCAGUCAAGGUCUAUUAAUUACAUACCUAGUUUUAAUAAGCGCACUCAAGUGCUGCUAUAAGGUUCCUUGCAGAUAUGGGAUCCAUCCCAACCCCAUGGAGCCACCGUACCCCAGCAGGUGACAGAGCUGGGACCGCAGGCUGGGGAACACUGAGCAUUCUGGCAUUCUUGCAUGAGUGUGUUUGGGAAGUAUUUUCAGUUCCGCAGAGCACCUUGUAAUUGAAUCAGAUAAAUACAUGGAAGGCACCGUGAUUUUUCAGGUGCCGCUGAGCGCUGGCUGUAUGAUUACAGCAAAUCUUUCAGCUCCUCUGAGCUGGCUGACAGUGACUUAUUUUGGUAUUUGUACAAGCUGCUGUUUAUGAUGGAGGAGUUCACAGGGUAAUAAACAGGAUAAAAAGCCAGGCUGAAGAAUCUGAUUACUGUAAAACCCAUUUAUUUCAAGUACACCAGUUAUUUCUAUUACGGGACGUUUUAGAAAUAAUUCUGCAUCUUGAAGUAGUUUAAAGAAGAUUAAUUUUCAAAGGGAAAAACCUUUCUCAGGUCCAUUUUAUCUGCUUCUCGGACAAAGCGUGAAAUUAGGAGCUUAUCUACAAUCACUAAAAUCGAAGGUAGGUCUUUCCCUUGACUUUAGUGGCUUAUAAAUCAAACUGGAUGUGAAUAGCUGAGCAGUGCCAUUGUGAUGACUGAUACGUGGAGUGACGGGCUGGAGACACGUGCUACCAAUAAGCAUGGAGGUGUCACCUGUCAAGUGACAGCUUCACUGGGCUCAGUGGCAGAGAGCCCACCUGGGAGCUUCAGAGCUCACCCAACUGCUUUCUGGAUGGCUGGGAGGUAUCGCAGCAUUCUCCCAACAGAACUUUCUGUUUCGCUGCAUCCUUCCUUUCCUAUCUAUGAAUUUUUUCUAGACUGAAUUUCCAGUGUUAACCCCGGAAAGAACUGGUGUUUGACUGCAUCAAACCAGAAGCCCUCCUUACAGCACAAGGACUAAAAUUCCCCUCGAUUUUUUUUAUGCUCUUGUCUGCUCUAUUGUUCUUCAUUCUGGACCGACCCUUCUGCUCGCUCCAUUCAGUGUGCUUGUUUUUCAGCAGCUGCCUGGAAAUAGUCACAAAGAACCCACAAAUAACCUCAGUGCAUCAAAGAACGCUUCUACGGGCAAUCUGAGAAAUAAAUUAGAACUAACAUAAUCAAGAGGUGGCAAUUAAUAAAACAUAAAAAUUAUCUUCCUGCAUGUGGGUUUUAUUAAUCUUUUAGAUAGUGAGAAACAUGGUAGCCUUUGCUCUAACCACUUGCCUGAUGGACUGGGUUAUUUUGUAUAUGUAG
ensembl:lncRNA